rnacentral:rRNA from 1 species
AUAAUGCAAGUCGAACGCACAGCGAAAGGUGCUUGCACCUUUCAAGUGAGUGGCGAACGGGUGAGUAACACGUGGACAACCUGCCUCAAGGCUGGGGAUAACAUUUGGAAACAGAUGCUAAUACCGAAUAAAACUUAGUGUCGCAUGACACAAAGUUAAAAGGCGCUUCGGCGUCACCUAGAGAUGGAUCCGCGGUGCAUUAGUUAGUUGGUGGGGUAAAGGCCUACCAAGACAAUGAUGCAUAGCCGAGUUGAGAGACUGAUCGGCCACAUUGGGACUGAGACACGGCCCAAACUCCUACGGGAGGCUGCAGUAGGGAAUCUUCCACAAUGGGCGAAAGCCUGAUGGAGCAACGCCGCGUGUGUGAUGAAGGCUUUCGGGUCGUAAAGCACUGUUGUAUGGGAAGAACAGCUAGAAUAGGAAAUGAUUUUAGUUUGACGGUACCAUACCAGAAAGGGACGGCUAAAUACGUGCCAGCAGCCGCGGUAAUACGUAUGUCCCGAGCGUUAUCCGGAUUUAUUGGGCGUAAAGCGAGCGCAGACGGUUUAUUAAGUCUGAUGUGAAAGCCCGGAGCUCAACUCCGGAAUGGCAUUGGAAACUGGUUAACUUGAGUGCAGUAGAGGUAAGUGGAACUCCAUGUGUAGCGGUGGAAUGCGUAGAUAUAUGGAAGAACACCAGUGGCGAAGGCGGCUUACUGGACUGCAACUGACGUUGAGGCUCGAAAGUGUGGGUAGCAAACAGGAUUAGAUACCCUGGUAGUCCACACCGUAACGAUGAACACUAGGUGUUAGGAGGUUUCCGCCUCUUAGUGCCGAAGCUAACGCAUUAAGUGUUCCGCCUGGGGAGUACGACCGCAAGGUUGAAACUCAAAGGAAUUGACGGGGACCCGCACAAGCGGUGGAGCAUGUGGUUUAAUUCGAAGCAACGCGAGAACCUUA